rnacentral:rRNA from 3 species
GUUGACCUCGGAUCAGGUAGGAGUACCCGCUGAACUUAA